rnacentral:misc_RNA from 1 species
GAUGAAGAACGCAGCGAAAUGCGAUAAGUAGUGUGAAUUGCAGAAUUCAGUGAAUCAUCGAAUCUUUGAACGCACAUUGCGCCCCUUGGUAUUCCAUGGGGCAUGCCUGUUCGAGCGUCAUUUGUACCCUCAAGCUUUGCUUGGUGUUGGGUGUUUGUCCCGCGUUGCGCGUGGACUCGCCUUAAAGCGAUUGGCAGCCGUCAUAUUGGCCUUGGAGCGCAGCACAUUUUGCGCUUCUAGUCAUGAAUGUUGGCGUCCAUUAAGCCUAUACUUUUGCUCUUGACCUCGGAUCAGGUAGGGAUACCCGCUGAACUUAAGCAUAUCAAUAAGCGGAGGA